GAUGAACGCUAGCUACAGGCUUAACACAUGCAAGUCGAGGGGAAACGAUAUUGGAAGCUUGCUUCCGAUAGGCGUCGACCGGCGCACGGGUGAGUAACGCGUAUCCAACCUGCCCAUCCCUUGGGAAUAACCUUGCGAAAGUAAGACUAAUACCCAAUGAUAUCUCUAGAAGACAUCGGAAGGAGAUUAAAGAUUUAUCGGUGAUGGAUGGGGAUGCGUCUGAUUAGCUUGUUGGCGGGGUAACAGCCCACCAAGGCGACGAUCAGUAGGGGUUAUGAGAGGAAGGUCCCCCACAUUGGAACUGAGACACGGUCCAAACUCCUACGCGAGGCAGCAGUGAGGAAUAUUGGUCAAUGGGCGAGAGCCUGAGCCAGCCAAGUAGCGUGCAGGAUGACGGCCCUAUGGGUUGUAAACUGCUUUUAUAAGGGAAUAAAGUGAGCCUCGUGAGGCUUUUUGCAUGUACCUUAUGAAUAAGGACCGGCUAAUUCCGUGCCAGCCGCCGCAGUAAGAC
rnacentral:rRNA from 1 species